rnacentral:rRNA from 1 species
UAGGGAAUCUUCGGCAAUGGGGGGAACCCUGACCGAGCAACGCCGCGUGAGUGAAGAAGGUUUUCGGAUCGUAAAGCUCUGUUGUUAAGGAAGAACGAGUGUGAGAAUGGAAAGUUCAUACUGUGACGGUACUUAACCAGAAAGGGACGGCUAACUACGUGCCAGCAGCCGCGGUAAUACGUAGGUCCCGAGCGUUGUCCGGAUUUAUUGGGCGUAAAGCGAGCGCAGGCGGUUAGAUAAGUCUGAAGUUAAAGGCAGUGGCUCAACCAUUGUAGGCUUUGGAAACUGUUUAACUUGAGUGCAGAAGGGGAGAGUGGAAUUCCAUGUGUAGCGGUUAAAUGCGUAGAUAUAUGGAGGAACACCGGUGGCGAAAGCGGCUCUCUGGUCUGUAACUGACGCUGAGGCUCGAAAGCGUGGGGAGCGAACAGG